AAUCAACGCUGGCGGCGUGCUUAACACAUGCAAGUCGAGCGGUAAGGCCCUUUCGGGGGUACACGAGCGGCGAACGGGUGAGUAACACGUGGUGACCUGCCCUCAGCUCUGGGAUAAGCCUGGGAAACCGGGUCUAAUACCGGAUAUGACUCCAUGACGCAUGUUGUGGGGUGGGAAGCCUUGUUGCGGCUGAGGAUGGGCCCGCGGCCUAUCAGCUUGUUGGUGGGGUGANGGCCUACCAAGGCGACGACGGGUAGCCGGCCUGAGAGGGCGACCGGCCACACUGGGACUGAGACACGGCCCAGACUCCUACGGGAGGCAGCAGUGGGGAAUCUUGCGCAAUGGGCGAAAAGCCUGACGCAGCGACG
rnacentral:rRNA from 1 species